rnacentral:rRNA from 1 species
UACGUAGGGUGCAAGCGUUAAUCGGAAUUACUGGGCGUAAAGCGUGCGCAGGCGGUUAUGUAAGACAGGGGCGAAAUCCCAGGGCUUAACCUUGGAACUGCAUUUGUGACUGCAUAGCUAGAGUACGGUAGAGGGGGAUGGAAUUCCGCGUGUAGCAGUGAAAUGCGUAGAUAUGCGGAGGAACACCGAUGGCGAAGGCAAUCCCCUGGGCCUGUACUGACGCUCAUGCACGAAAGCGUGGGGAGCAAACAGG